GCAUAGGUGAGGAACAAACAAGAAUGAUGCUAGAAAGAAUAGCAAACCCUGUGCCCGCUUUUGCCAGGUGAAGAGUAGCAAUUGAAGAGGAAAGAACCAAGAAGAGGGGCAACUGGAGAGGAGCAAACAGAGGAACGAGGAACCCAGGAAGAACGAUUUCAGCCCCAUUGGAGAGGAACAACAAACCCAGGAAGAACGAUUUCGGUCCCAUUGGAGAGGAACGAUGAAGCCAGGAAUAAUGAUUUCGGCCAAGUGUUGCUCAAAAUGCUUGUCGUGUUGGAUGCGAUGUCAAUGCAGUCUUCGACAUCUAGAGGUUCCUACCUCAAAUACAAGAAUAAAAUAUGCAAAUGCGGUCGAAAAGCUACAAUACGAGCCUCCGAACAGGUUCAAACUAAAAAAAGUUUAAUUUUUUUCAUGGUCCAACCCUUCUGAUGAAGAUGAUGACUAAGACAAUUAUCCAAUGGUUGAGUAGGGAAGAGGUAACCAAUAUAAAAUUGAAGGCCAUGAGGAAGGAAGAAAUAGUGGCUCAGUUAUAUGAGAUGAAAGGAGUGUUGGCUGACUUGGGUGCAAAGGUGGAUGGACAAAAUUCAUCACGCAAACCAACAAGUAGUAUGGCAGUGGUGGCUAUUUUCUUUAUUGUCAUUUGGGUCAUCUUCAAGGUUCUCUAGUGUUACAAGUCUAAGAGAGUCUUGGUUUAUGGAUAUGUAAUCAAACAUUUAGUUUUGGUUUUCUAAAUGAUGCUCAUGAAAUGAUGAGAAUGAAACGUAUUUGGUUUUAUGGUAGAGUUUAGUUGAAUCCA